AAGGUGGCUGAGGAUUUGUGCUCGGUAUAACCCGAGGUGGUUGGCGGUGGUUGGCGGUGGUCGAGCUGGACGGGGUGGAGGACAAGGAUUCGUGCUUGUUCUGUGCCCCACCUAGUGAUCCACUAGUACAUAUCCUCCGACGUGACAUCGCUGUGCUACGUAUAAAGAAGAAAAGAUUUAUUAAGAUGCAAAUCGCUCCUCUCUUCUUGUCAUUGUGCUUUCAGCCAUUGUUAUGCUGUGUGUUUAAAAUUUAGGACAGUAUAUAAUAUAGAAUAACAGGUACAGCUACGAAUAUAGCACUACAAUAAAUCUUAUAGAAAUGAGCUCUUA
rnacentral:lncRNA from 1 species